rnacentral:misc_RNA from 1 species
CGUGGGAUCCGCAGGAGCGGCCC